rnacentral:rRNA from 1 species
AUUGAACGCUGGCGGCAGGCCUAACACAUGCACGUCGAGCGCGCGGCGGACGGGUGAGUAAUGUCUGGAAAAAUGCCUGAUGGCGGGGGAUACCUACUGGAAACGGUAGCUACUACUACAUACAAUCAGAUGUGCACAGAUGGGGUUAGCUAGUAGGUGGGGUAACGGCUUACCUCGGCGACGGUCCCUAGCUGGUCUGAGAGGAUGCCCAGCCACACUGGAACUGAGACACGGUCCAGACGCCGCCGUGAGGCAUCAGUGGGGAAUAUUGCACAAUGGGCGCAAGCCUGAUGCAGCCAUGCCGCGUGUGUGAAGAAGGCCUUCGGGUUGUAAAGCACUUGCAGCGGGGAGGCGUUACCCGCAGAAGAAGCACCGGCUAACUUCGUGACAGCCGCCGCGGUAAUAC